rnacentral:lncRNA from 1 species
UCAAUCUUCAAUUAUGUGUAAAAUUACAGGCCAAUCUUGAAACCAGUAAGUUUCGUGACAAACGACACGAUCGCGCUGAUAUGGACAAAUAGAGAGCAGAACAACUUAGUAGUGGAACUAUGCACAUUCGGGUCCACUUGUACAAGGGUAUUUUCUUAUAAUGAAACAGACGGAUGGGUUGAUAACAUCCCACUGAUUUUCAAUGAAGCAGGAACGGCCUUCAUUACUAUUUUGCCACAAACCGUCGGAGGUGUCCGUUACAAGCAAAUAAUUCAAGUGUCCCAAGCAACAGGCGUGUGGUCUUCUCAAAAUCGCAUUAAUACCCAGAACACGGUUCUUGAUAUACUAAAGUGGACCUCUGAUGAUGUCAUUUGGUACAAGGCCACAGCUACAAACGACUCCUCUGAACAGCAUGUAUACAGUGUAAACAGCAGUGGUGCAGUAUCCUGCUUUACUUGCAACAUUGGUGAUGAGAACAGUUGUCGUUACAACGAUGCAUCCAUCAGCGAUGGCAACCUGAUCACUAUCACCUGCGGUGGUCCAAAUAUACCACAAGUGUUCAUAUAC